CACAUAAGUCUUCCCUUCUAUCCACUUAAAACACUAUCUGAGCUCAAUUCGCUGGAUAACAUUUGAAGAGGAGAGUUGUCUGAAAGGGGGAAUCUUCUGCUACACUGCUGCGUUGCAACUCGGAGUUUUACAAUGUUGUGCAUCCAAUUCCAUGCUCCAUUGCUUCCCUUACAAUCACAGCUCAAACACAAGAAACAUCCGAGGACACCUCAGCUGCUUUGGCUCUCUAGCUGUGAAGCUACACAGUUUUUUCCACACAGGCCAAACAACUUUUCUCUACUGGCUCCGAGGACCAACGCCAUCCCCAAUUCUCUUCUUCUCGCUGCCUCGUCCGAAGUCAAGCCCGGAGGAGACAUAUCGGUCCUGCUUCCAGUCAGUGCGGUACUUCUCUCUGCAUACUUCCUAGCAAAUUUCAUCGUGCCGACAUUCAUCAUGAAGGAUUUAGGCUUUGACAAAGAAAGUGAAAAGCAGAAGGGUAAUGAUGAUAAUUCCAAUUAAGAUGAUAUCACCAGCACAACUAGCAGUCAAGUAAGCUCAGAAACUAAGGUGAGAGCAUGAGGUUAAAAAAGACGGGCAUUCUUUCAUGUGAUAUCUUAAUUAUAACUGUGAUUGUAGUAAUAAUACUAUCGCUCCAAAACGUCUGUUCAUGAUUUACCACUCUCCCAAUUUACUUUCAUGUUACUUGUGGGCACAUUUUUAAACACACGGGAUCCUAUACGACAUCCCAAUCUCACAAAAUUCAAUUAACAAGUAGAACUAACUUUCAAGGACUCCAAAGAGCCAUUCCAUUUUCUUAUUCCUUCUGUGUAAUCAAACAAGAAAUUCUUUCAACUGUUGCUAAUGGUAUCUAAAGUAGCAGGUUUUUCAAAAUAAUUUACAGUUACCUGCAAUAUCAAAGCAUCAUGCUUAAUCUGGACCACUCCCCCCCCCCCCCC